AAAUUGAAGAGUUUGAUCAUGGCUCAGAUUGAACGCUGGCGGCAGGCCUAACACAUGCAAGUCGAACGGUAACAGGAAUCAGCUUGCUGAUUCGCUGACGAGUGGCGGACGGGUGAGUAAUGUCUGGGAAACUGCCUGAUGGAGGGGGAUAACUACUGGAAACGGUAGCUAAUACCGCAUAAUGUCGCAAGACCAAAGAGGGGGACCUU
rnacentral:rRNA from 3 species